UACGAAGGGGGCUAGCGUUGUUCGGAAUUACUGGGCGUAAAGCGCGUGUAGGCGGGUCUUUAAGUCCGGGGUGAAAUGCCAAGGCUCAACCUUGGAACUGCCUUUGAUACUGGAGACCUUGAGUCCGGGAGAGGUGAGUGGAAUUGCGAGUGUAGAGGUGAAAUUCGUAGAUAUUCGCAAGAACACCAGUGGCGAAGGCGGCUCACUGGCCCGGAACUGACGCUGAGAUGCGAAAGCGUGGGGAGCAAACAGG
rnacentral:rRNA from 1 species